rnacentral:misc_RNA from 1 species
CACCGACAAAUUUAAUGAAUUCAACAAAACCAAACAGCAAUACUUGCUAAUACAUCAGGAACAUUCUAACAUAUUCCAACCUCCAACGCAUUUAGAUACAAAAUCCGCUAAAUUUCUUAGUCCUAGGACGGAAUUAUGAUGAGAGAGCACCUUUGGUUGUAAAAAGAAGUCCACGCAAUCGAAACAAUCGAGGCCUUGUGCCUUUGUCUUAUUUCUUCACCUCUUCAUACUCGGCUUCAGAAGCUUGUUCGCCACCCUGAGGUCCUCCAG